rnacentral:rRNA from 1 species
AAAGGAAUUGACGGGGGCCCGCACAAGCGGUGGAGCAUGUGGUUCAAUUCGAAGCAACGCGAAGAACCUUACCAGCCUUUGACAUCCCGGUCGCGAGCACCAGAGAUGGAGCUCUUCAGUUCGGCUGGACCGGAGACAGGUGCUGCAUGGCUGUCGUCAGCUCGUGUCGUGAGAUGUUGGGUUAAGUCCCGCAACGAGCGCAACCCUCGCCCUUAGUUGCCAUCAUUUAGUUGGGCACUCUAAGGGGACUGCCGGUGAUAAGCCGGAGGAAGGUGGGGAUGACGUCAAGUCCUCAUGGCCCUUACAGGCUGGGCUACACACGUGCUACAAUGGCGGUGACAGAGGGACGCAAAGGAGCAACCCUUCGCAAAUCUCAAAAAGCCGUCUCAGUUCGGAUUGUGCUCUGCAACUCGAGCACAUGAAGUUGGAAUCGCUAGUAAUCGCAGAUCAGCACGCUGCGGUGAAUACGUUCCCGGGCCUUGCACUCACCGCCCGUC